UGGGGAAUUUUGGACAAUGGGCGAAAGCCUGAUCCAGCCAUGCCGCGUGAGUGAAGAAGGCCUUCGGGUUGUAAAGCUCUUUUAGUCGGAAAGAAAGAGUUGCAAUGAAUAAUUGUGAUUUAUGACGGUACCGACAGAAGAAGCACCGGCUAACUACGUGCCAGCAGCCGCGGUAAUACGUAGGGUGCGAGCGUUAAUCGGAAUUACUGGGCGUAAAGCGUGCGCAGGCGGUUUUGUAAGACGGAUGUGAAAUCCCCGGGCUUAACCUGGGAACUGCAUUCGUGACUGCAAGGCUAGAGUAUGGCAGAGGGGGGUAGAAUUCCACGUGUAGCAGUGAAAUGCGUAGAGAUGUGGAGGAAUACCGAUGGCGAAGGCAGCCCCCUGGGCCAAUACUGACGCUCAUGCACGAAAGCGUGGGGAGCAAACA
rnacentral:rRNA from 1 species